AGUGAACGCUGGCGGUAGGCCUAACACAUGCAAGUCGAACGGCAGCACAGUAAGAGCUUGCUCUUACGGGUGGCGAGUGGCGGACGGGUGAGGAAUACAUCGGAAUCUACUUUUUCGUGGGGGAUAACGUAGGGAAACUUACGCUAAUACCGCAUACGACCUACGGGUGAAAGCAGGGGAUCUUCGGACCUUGCGCGAUUGAAUGAGCCGAUGUCGGAUUAGCUAGAUGGCGGGGUAAAGGCCCACCAAGGCGACGAUCCGUAGCUGGUCUGAGAGGAUGAUCAGCCACACUGGAACUGAGACACGGUCCAGACUCCUACGGGAGGCAGCAGUGGGGAAUAUUGGACAAUGGGCGCAAGCCUGAUCCAGCCAUACCGCGUGGGUGAAGAAGGCCUUCGGGUUGUAAAGCCCUUUUGUCGGGAAAGAAAAGCAGCAGGUUAAUACCCCGCUGUUCUGACGGUACCCAAAGAAUAAGCACCGGCUAACUUCGUG
rnacentral:rRNA from 1 species